rnacentral:rRNA from 1 species
UACGUAGGGGGGCAAGCGUUGUCCGGAAUCAUUGGGCGUAAAGCGCGUGUAGGCGGCCCGGUAAGUCCGCUGUGAAAGUCGGGGGCUCAACCCUCGGAUGCCGGUGGAUACUGUCGGGCUAGAGUGCGGGAGAGGCGAGUGGAAUUCCUGGUGUAGCGGUGAAAUGCGCAGAUAUCAGGAGGAACACCAAUUGCGAAGGCAGCUCGCUGGAACGGUACUGACGCUGAGGAGCGAAAGCGUGGGGAGCGAACAGG